UCCUUCACUCCAAAAUCUUCCAGGUCGUUCCAGCUCAGGUCCAGUUCAGUCAGAUGUGAGGGGUUAAAGGUCAGAGCUGAGGCCAGAGAAGAACAGCUGAUCUCUGACAAACUGCAGCUCUUCAAUCUGGAUAAAGAAUAAAAGAUGUGAGCUGAAGCCAACAGGAUGCAGGUUAACCAGUCCAACAGAACCAGUUAAAGAGUCUCAUGAAUAUUAAUGCCAACAUGCUGCUGCUUCAAU